rnacentral:rRNA from 1 species
GGAUUCGAUUAGCCUGCGAGUCGAGAGGGUUCGGCCCUCGGCAGACUGCUCAGUAACACGUGGAUAACCUAAUCUUAGGUGGAGGAUAAUCUCGGGAAACUGAGAAUAAUACUCCAUAGAUCUAGGCUGCUGGAAUGCAUCUAGAUUUAAAGCUCCGGCGCCUAAGAAUGGGUCUGCGGACUAUCAGGUUGUAGUCAGGGUAAAGACCUGACUAGCCUACGACGGAUAUGGGUUGUGAGAGCAAUAGCCCAGAGACGAUAUCUGAGACACGAUAUCGGGCCCUACGGGGCGCAGCAGGCGCGAAAUCUUCACAAUGUGCGAAAGCACGAUGAGGGAAUCCCAAGUGCUAGCACGUAAGUGUUAGCUGUUUCUUAGUCUAAAAAACUGAGAGAGUAAGGGCUGGGUAAGACGGGUGCCAGCCGCCGCGGUAAUACCUGCAGCUCAAGUGGUGGCCGCUAUUAUUGGGCCUAAAACGUCCGUAGCCUGUUUAGUAAAUGCUUGGGUAAAUUGUGUAGCUUAACUAUACGAAUACCGGGUAGACUGCUAAACUUGGGACCGGGAGAGGCUAGAAGGUACUCCUGGGGGUAGAGGUGAAAUUCUGUAAUCCUAGGGGGACCACCAGUGGCCNAAGCGUCUAGCUAGAACGGUCUUGACGGUGAAGGGACGAAGCCCUGGGGCGCGAACCGGAUUAGAUNCCCGGGUAGUCCAGGGUG